AUGCUCUCUUUGGCAGCACAUAUGCUAAAAUUGCAAUAAUACAAAGAAGAUUAUCAUGGUCCCUGCAAUAGGAUGGAAUGCCAAUUUGUUGAGUGUUCUAUAGUUUU
rnacentral:snRNA from 1 species